UACGGGGGGGGCAAGCGUUGUUCGGAAUUAUUGGGCGUAAAGAGCUUGUAGGCGGUUUGUCGCGUCUGCCGUGAAAGCCCAGGCUUAACCCUGGGUCUGCGGUGGGUACGGGCAGACUAGAGUGUGGUAGGGGAGACUGGAAUUCCUGGUGUAGCGGUGAAAUGCGCAGAUAUCAGGAGGAACACCCGUGGCGAAGGCGGCUCUCUGGAACGCAACUGACGCUGAGACGCGAAAGCGUGGGGAGCAAACAGG
rnacentral:rRNA from 1 species